CCAGACUCCUACGGGAGGCAGCAGUGAGGGAUAUUGGUCAAUGGACGCAAGUCUGAACCAGCCAUGCCGCGUGCAGGAUGACGGCUCUAUGAGUUGUAAACUGCUUUUGUACGAGGGUAAACCCCGAUACGUGUAUCGGGUUGAAAGUAUCGUACGAAUAAGGAUCGGCUAACUCCGUGCCAGCAGCCGCGGUAAUACGGAGGAUGCGAGCGUUAUCCGGAUUUAUUGGGUUUAAAGGGUGCGUAGGCGGGUUGUUAAGUCAGCGUUAAACGCCGGGGGCCCACCCCGGGCGAGCCGUUGAAACUGGCUGUCUUGAGAUGUCGAGAGGUAUGCGGAAUGCGCAGUGUAGCGGUGAAAUGCUUAGAUAUUGCGCAGAACUCCGAUUGCGAAGGCAGCAUACCGGCGGCGAUCUGACGCUGAGGCACGAAAGCGUGGGUAUCGAACAGGAUUAGAUACCCUAGUA
rnacentral:rRNA from 1 species